rnacentral:rRNA from 1 species
UACGUAUGGUGCAAGCGUUAUCCGGAUUUACUGGGCGUAAAGGGAGCGCAGGCGGCGCGCCAAGUCUGAUGUGAAACCCCGGGGCUCAACCCCGGGCAUGCAUUGGAAACUGGCGGGCUGGAAUGCCGGAGAGGUAAGCGGAAUUCCUAGUGUAGCGGUGAAAUGCGUAGAUAUUAGGAGGAACACCAGUGGCGAAGGCGGCUUACUGGACGGCAACUGACGCUGAGGCUCGAAAGCGUGGGGAGCAAACAGG